rnacentral:precursor_RNA from 15 species
CAAGAAAAUGGCAAUUCUCCAUUGACUGUUUGGAUGUUCUCGGACGUUCAAAGCUACAUCCAACAAAUUGGUAGCUUUGUACUCCGAUGCCAUUCAGAUAGUUAUGAGCCAUGGAUGUAUUGUUGAGG